GCCCGUCAUGUUGGCACAGGCCUAUAGUCCCAGCUACUCAGGAGGCUGAGGCAGGAGGAUCGCUGGAGCCCAGGAGCCCUGGGAUGUCGUGAGCUAUGCUGAUUGCAUCUCCAUACUAAGUUUGGCAUCAGUAUGGUGACCUCCCAGGAGUGGGGGACCACCAUGUUGCCCAAGGAGGGGUGAACACUGCCAGGCUGGAAAUGGAGCAAGUCAAAAGUCCUGUGCUGUGCCGGGCACAGUGGCUGUGGUCAAGACAAGCCUGGUCAACAUAGUGAAACCCCAUCUCUG
ensembl:misc_RNA Metazoa_SRP Metazoan signal recognition particle RNA